rnacentral:lncRNA from 1 species
GUCUUCUUGGUGGAGCAUAUUGAUCAAUCUUAUAAAAUCUAACUGCUUAGUGAGUCAAUCUAGUAUGCUUAAAAUUCUUGGCUUUCAACUUGGAACAGUUGCUCUGAUCAUCGUUGCUGUCUGAGAUCUUAUGGAGUCUAAUGACCUUUUGGCUUAACCCUUUUAAAGUAUGUCAUUUCCUGUGAUGGGCACUUUGGCUCAGCACCUUGGAAUGGUCUUUUCCCAGAGAGCAAACACAUUCUCUGAUUAAAUGCCCUUAGCAGGCAGGGACAGGACACAGCUGGGGUUUGAAUUAGGCCAAAUCCCAUCAGAUUGAAAAUCAAGAAGCUGGUGCUUUGAAGAUUAUAAAUCUGGAAAGCAGCAAAGAUAAAGGUCAGUGAGCCCCGGCUCAAAGCAGGUAGCACCACUUCUCUUUGGCUUUUAAUGCUGCUUCUCUUUGGCUGUGGUACCCAGAAUGACUUUAAAGAUGGAUAUGUGUGAGGAGAUACGAUCUUAAUCUUAGAACUGCUAAAUCUACUCCCCCUUUCAAGAGAGAAGUAAUUAGCGUCUCGGGGAAGACAAAAAUUGAGAAUAUGGCAUGUUAUGGAAAUGAGGAGGACUUGCCAAAAAUUCUUGUCUCAUAUCUCCAUGUUUUCCAGAAAGGCAAUUGUGAUUGACAGCCUGGUUACAGGAAAAGCAUUGUGGACAGAAUGACUCGAGAAUUUGGACAUGCUGCCUCCCAUUUUCACGUCUUCUGCUUUAAAUGGAGACGAUUUGUACCUGUGAGCACUGUUGGCAUGGCUACAUUUCUGGAAGGGAUUCUUAUAUUUUUAGAGUAUCGGUGAAGAGAACAGUUACUUCACUUCUUUCAAGAAGGCAUCUACAUAACCUCUUCAGAAGUUUUCUGGAAAACUGCAUCCUUGUUUAAAUAAAAAGUCCUUGUUCUUUUCUAAAAGCUAUUAUGCUUCAUAGAAUGGAAAUACCUUAAUUUAUUUAGCCCUGCUGGUGGGCUUCUAAUUCUUUGCUAUUAUAGAUAAUGUGGCAAUGAACAUCAUUUGUGUGUGUGUAUAAAGAUUUUUAUAUAUUAAGAAGAAUAACCUUUCAUUAUUAAAAUUCCAGAGUAAUUGAAAGAGAUUCAGUUGUAAUUUGGGUAUCAUCAGUUAACCCUCCAUGCCUAAUUUUAUUUUCUGUUGAAUGAUACAUGUUAGACGUUUCCUUGGGUGACUUUACUUUAAGGGAGAGGCUGCAAAACUAGAAAGAGUCAGGUGACUGUGCCCAGCAGAGAGAUGGAAGGCACAGGGACUGGAGGGUUCAGGCUGGAGAAAAGAAUCAUUAGGGAAGCUGUGGUGAUUGACUGCAAAUAUUUUAAAAGCCAUGAUAUGGAGAAAAAAACAAAUUUGCUCCUUAUAAAUCCAGUCACUGGCAUUUGCCCAGAGAACAAUUUCCCCUC